rnacentral:rRNA from 1 species
CAGUCGAGGGGUAUAUUUCUUCGGAGAUAGAGACCGGCGCACGGGUGCGUAACGCGUAUGCAAUCUACCUUUUACAGAGGGAUAGCCCAGAGAAAUUUGGAUUAAUACCUCAUAGUAUAAUGACUCGGCAUCGAGAUAUUAUUAAAGUCACAACGGUAAAAGAUGAGCAUGCGUCCCAUUAGCUAGUUGGUAAGGUAACGGCUUACCAAGGCUACGAUGGGUAGGGGUCCUGAGAGGGAGAUCCCCCACACUGGUACUGAGACACGGACCAGACUCCUACGGGAGGCAGCAGUGAGGAAUAUUGGACAAUGGGCGCAAGCCUGAUCCAGCCAUGCCGCGUGCAGGAUGACGGUCCUAUGGAUUGUAAACUGCUUUUAUACGAGAAGAAACACUGAUUCGUGAAUCAGCUUGACGGUAUCGUAAGAAUAAGGAUCGGCUAACUCCGUGCCAGCAGCCGCGGUAAUACGGAGGAUCCAAGCGUUAUCCGGAAUCAUUGGGUUUAAAGGGUCCGUAGGCGGUUUGGUAAGUCAGUGGUGAAAGCCCAUCGCUCAACGGUGGAACGGCCAUUGAUACUGCCAGACUUGAAUUAUUAGGAAGUAACUAGAAUAUGUAGUGUAGCGGUGAAAUGCUUAGAGAUUACAUGGAAUACCAAUUGCGAAGGCAGGUUACUACUAAUGGAUUGACGCUGAUGGACGAAAGCGUGGGUAGCGAACAGGAUUAGAUACCCUGGUAGUCCACGCCGUAAACGAUGGAUACUAGCUGUUGGAAGCAAUUUCAGUGGCUAAGCGAAAGUGAUAAGUAUCCCACCUGGGGAGUACGUUCGCAAGAAUGAAACUCAAAGGAAUUGACGGGGGCCCGCACAAGCGGUGGAGCAUGUGGUUUAAUUCGAUGAUACGCGAGGAACCUUACCAAGGCUUAAAUGUAGAUUGACCGAUUUGGAAACAGAUCUUUCGCAAGACAAUUUACAAGGUGCUGCAUGGUUGUCGUCAGCUCGUGCCGUGAGGUGUCAGGUUAAGUCCUAUAACGAGCGCAACCCNUGUUGUUAGUUGCCAGCGAGUCAAGUCGGGAACUCUAACAAGACUGCCAGUGCAAA